UGGGAUGUGGCUCAAGUGGUAGCGCUUGCCUGGCAUGCAUGAGGCACUGGGUUCGAUCCUCAGCACCACAU
rfam:Ictidomys tridecemlineatus contig010049, whole genome shotgun sequence.